rnacentral:ncRNA from 2 species
UGGUGGUAGUAGCAAAUAUUC